CAGAGCUUUCCCACGCCUGAGACACGCUGCCGGAGCUCUUGCACACAUUCCGGGCCUGCCAGCACUCUGCAAAUGUUUGGACAGCCUUGAACAAAUAACACACCUUUAAAGAGGCCAGCAUGAAAUUUUUCCUCACCCCUCGGCCGCCCUCCCGCUGCCUCGUGCCCCCCCAGCACCCCGCAGUGCUCCGUGUGUGUGCGCACGGGGUUUAUUUUAGGCUCGUGGCCGCGCUCCAGUUUCGGGGAGGAGGAUGGAGGAUGGGGAUGGGAGGAGGUCUGGCUUUUCCUCCCGCAGGGAUGCUCCGCUCCGUGUCCCCGUGGCACAGCACAGGGGUUGAAGCAGGAUUUGCCCCAACGCGGUGGUGGGGCAGUGAGGAGCCACAGCAAGGAUUAAUGGAGCAGCCAGCUGCCUGCCUGCUGAGUUCUGGGAAUGUCAAACACUGCAGCCAUCUCAACAGCUCCUAAAAUUCCCCCUGACUCGUUUCCUGUUGCUGCUUUCCCCAUGCUGAAAGGCUCGGGCUCCCGUGGAUAAAAAAAUUUAAAAAAAUAAAAAAAUAAAUAAAAAAAAAAUUGGAGGGAUUC